GCAGUUGAGCGCUGAAGUUGGUACUUGUACCAACUGGAUGAGCAGCGAACGGGUGAGUAACGCGUGGGGAAUCUGCCUUUGAGCGGGGGACAACAUUUGGAAACGAAUGCUAAUACCGCAUAAAAACUUUAAACACAAGUUUUAAGUUUGAAAGAUGCAAUUGCAUCACUCAAAGAUGAUCCCGCGUUGUAUUAGCUAGUUGGUGAGGUAAAGGCUCACCAAGGCGAUGAUACAUAGCCGACCUGAGAGGGUGAUCGGCCACAUUGGGACUGAGACACGGCCCAAACUCCUACGGGAGGCAGCAGUAGGGAAUCUUCGGCAAUGGACGAAAGUCUGACCGAGCAACGCCGCGUGAGUGAAGAAGGUUUUCGGAUCGUAAAACUCUGUUGGUAGAGAAGAACGUUGGUGAGAGUGGAAAGCUCAUCAAGUGACGGUAACUACCCAGAAAGGGACGGCUAACUACGUGCCAGCAGCCGCGGUAAUACGUAGGUCCCGAGCGUUGUCCGGAUUUAUUGGGCGUAAAGCGAGCGCAGGUGGUUUAUUAAGUCUGGUGUAAAAGGCAGUGGCUCAACCAUUGUAUGCAUUGGAAACUGGUAGACUUGAGUGCAGGAGAGGAGAGUGGAAUUCCAUGUGUAGCGGUGAAAUGCGUAGAUAUAUGGAGGAACACCGGUGGCGAAAGCGGCUCUCUGGCCUGUAACUGACACUGAGGC
rnacentral:rRNA from 1 species